GGGUUGUUCUGAAAUUUCCCUUGGUGAUACAAUUGGUGUUGGUACUCCUGGUACUGUCAUUCCAAUGCUUGGAGCUGUUCUUAAUGUUGUCCCUGUUGAUAAGCUUGCUGUCCAUUUUCACGACACUUAUGGUCAAGCUCUUUCAAAUAUUCUAGCAUCACUCCAUAUGGGGAUCAACACUGUUGAUUCAUCAGUCUCUGGUCUUGGGGGUUGCCCAUAUGCUAAGGGGGCUUCUGGUAAUGUUGCUACUGAAGAUGUUGUCUACAUGCUCAAUGGUCUUGGAGUCAAGACUAAUGUGGAUCUCCAGAAGGUCAUUUUAGCAGGAAAUUUCAUCUGCAAGCAUUUGGGGCGUUCUUCUGGUUCGAAGACAGCAAUUGCCUUGAGCAAAAUCACAGCUCAUGCCUCCAAACUUUAGGAUAUUACUAGAGCUGCAUCAUAUAACCAUGUUAUACAGAAAUGUGUCUUAAAUUUAUUUCAUCAUGCAUUAGGACACACAAAGCUUUCAAAAUGAUAUACAAUCCCUUGCUCUUGCUUGAAGAGUGCACAUGUACAUUUCUGUUCACAAGUAUUAUCAUGUAGGGGUGAGCACUUGGUUUAUUCUGUUCAGUUUGAUUCUAUCAAAAUUUCUUUUCUCAAAACCAAAC
rnacentral:misc_RNA from 1 species